rnacentral:rRNA from 1 species
AACGAACGCUGGCGGCAUGCCUAACACAUGCAAGUCGAACGAGACCUUCGGGUCUAGUGGCGCACGGGUGCGUAACGCGUGGGAACCUGCCCUUAGGUUCGGAAUAACUCCCCGAAAGGGGUGCUAAUACCGGAUAAUGUCUUCGGACCAAAGAUUUAUGGCCUUUGGAUGGGCCCGCGUUGGAUUAGCUAGUUGGUAGGGUAAAAGCCUACCAAGGCGGCGAUCCAUAGCUGGUCGGAGAGGAUGAUCAGCGGCACUGGGACAGGGACCCGGCCCAGACGGGAGGGAGGGGUGGGGGGGGGUAAAAAAUGGGAGGGGGCCAAAUCCAGCACCGCCGAGGGCGGGGGGAGGACGAACGCCUUGGGUUUGAAAUUCUCUUUUGCCGGGGAGUGAAUGAAGGUAACGGGGAAAAAAGCCCCGGGUAAAUCCGUG